rnacentral:lncRNA from 1 species
UGACUAUCCACAGGCAGGGCUAGAAAAGGGAGUGGAACAUUUUACUUAGGCAGGAAGCACUGAAGAGAAGAAUCUUUUUUUCAGUAGACAUUUGUGGGAAAUAAAAAUUUGUUUAGAAGAAUUUAGGCCAAGAGAUAAAAUGGUCUUCUUUUGACUGAGGAGAGAUAAGAUAGAUUUUAAGCAGACAUCUGAAGUUAAAGGUGAGAGAAGGAAGAUAAACUGGGUGAUUUUGCUCACCUAAGAAGGUACACAGAUCCAAAGAAAAAGAGAUUCGAGAGGUGUCUCCAGCUUCUGAUUUUGAUGACAUCUCCCAGAGAGGACCGUGUUGCCAUCACCAUCCCAGAGUCUGAAAGUGUCCAGGUCAGAGACGCUUUCACUAAGGUGUCUACAUCCUGCAACUAUAGAUGAAUCUCUAACAAGCUGCCUGCUUUGAGACCUAUUACUUCCAUAAUGGGACUCAUUGCUUUCCUAAGCAGCCCUUGUAAUUUUCAGCAAGGUCCUUUAACUCAGUUAAUGUGAAACAUUUGUUCAUGCCUAAUUUGUCGGAGCCCGGCCAUAGUUGUGUUCUCCUUGAGUUGCAGAAGGUUGAUUGUGGGGGUAAAACGGUCAGCCUCAAGUGACUACAUAUCUCCGCUGAAUUAUAGUAAUUACUGUGGAUUGCAUUUGGUUGGUGGAUUGCAUUUGGUUGUCGUGGAGAGAGGCCCUCCACGACAAGGUUAACAAGCAGAAGGUAACCAGACAUCAGAAUAUAAGUGCCUCAUCACAUACAGACAAUUGUUGACAGUGCAUUUUUUUCGUCUCAUAAUUAUGAUAAGGUUCGGUAAUGGAUGCAGCUGUACAAUGCCCUGGAAAUUAAAUUCUAGAAUCCAUAAUGUAAGGAAAAUUAGAAUACAGUAGCAGUAUUUUUCUUCAAAUUCUGAUAUUAAGACAGUCCUUUGCAAAUGCUUUAAAAUGUUAGAUAACCCCAUUUUUAUGGAACUUUGGUAAUUCUCACCUCUAAUUCUCACCAUUUCAGACUCACAUCACACUCUUCUUUGUUUGGUAGUUUUUUUUUUUUCAAAGUGAGAAGAGAACAUUAUUUGGCUAUAAUUCAAAAUGACAGCUGCAUUCUUUUUGAUUUUUUUUCUCAUAACUUGGUAUAUCAAAACUGAUUUUGUUGCUUGUAUACCAUCCCCAAAACCAUUUAUUUUAUUUUAACGUGUGUUUAUAUAAGAUUUAAAUUAGCUUUUUCCUUUCUCUUUCCUUUGCAUCUGUCAAGAGUGGAAGACUUUUUUUUCAACUCUACCAUUACGAUGACCUUAAAGUCCUAGCUGUGGAAUUAUAUUAGAAAACUAACCUUCAAAUAAAAUUUGGAUAGGAGACAACUGCGUAAUAAGCAUGCAGACAUUUGAGUUUUAGCAUAAUCUUCCUUUGAAGUGUAAUUUAUAAAAUGUACAUAUACUUUAUCAUUACCCAUAAUUUAAUGAAGCAUGAUGUAGAAUAUAUAAAAUAUUCUUCUAGGGGAGAAAAUUAACAUUUUCUAAUAUGCACACAUGUGGAGCAUACAUAUGGAACAUUUAUCACACACUUUAUUUAUAUUACUAACUGUAUACAGUAAAAUUACAUGAUGUUACUUUUAUUUUAGAAACUAAAUCUCAAGCUGUGUAGUUUGAGUAAAGGCUAACAGUAAAAAGUUUCCAUAACUAUUCCUCAACUUUAAAAAUCAACCUAUUAAAUAUUUUAAAAGAAACUGUGACUUUGAAAUAUAAUUGGAUUAUGGGCGGUCAUUCAUCCCAGAGGAAUGACAUUUUAUAGAAAAGAUAACUUGAGCACUGAUAGUAUGGAACCAUGCUAAUAGAGAAAUUAUGUUUCACUUUCUAGUUUACUAAUCAGUAACUCGUCUCGAUUUUGCUCUUGCGAGAUUGUGUGUGCAUGUGCGUGUGUGUGUGUGUGUGUGUGUGUGUGUGCAUAUUUGUGUGAGGGAGAUCUUCCUUAAGGGAAGACCAUAAUAAAAUCAUAUACAAUGGUAUAAAAUGAGAUAUUUUCUUUCUCAUGAGCUUCUGACAAAUUUCAGAUAAAACUUAUUUCAAAAAAAAUUGUCAUGUGAAAGACAUAGAACAGCUAAAAUUUCUACAAAUAUAAGGGUCAUCAACUAAUAAAUGAAUUAAAAUAGAUGCAAUGAUUAGAAAAAAGAAACAAUAUAAAUAAAAUUUAACAAAGGAAGCAUCCAACAAAAACAAAAUCAUGAGAGAAAUCAUGAGAACUAAUACCUGGACAUGGGGGGUUGGGGGGAGUAGGGAGAGAGAGAGAGAAAGAGACUUAUUUACAAUUUCCAAAAAGCAGUUGCUGAAUUUUUUUUUUAACUCUCAUUUUGCUUUAUUUGGUGACAAGCUCCAUUUGAUAAGAACAGAUAAUUAAGUUGUUUGUUCUUCACUAUCACAGUCUAUAUUUAAAGUCUUUACUUCUGGAAUAUGGUGAAUAACAUUGAGGCUGAGACUUGAGCACAUUCAUAUUCAAGAGCAAAGAUCAGGUCUGCACUUAAUAAAAGUAAAACCCUGCUCUCCUUUGUGUAAUAAGCCUAUAAAGUAGACUUUUUCUUUAGCUUGGCUAAAAGCGGCUCUAUUGUGUGUGUAAUUUUGAAUAAUUAUCUCUAUGUAAAUCAGAAACUGCCUUGUGACCCAACAUAGCUUUACUUUGUUAAAAUUUCUGUCCUUAGAAAACAAUGUUUCCCAAGGAAGAACUUUAUCACUAUUUACAUAAAUCUUAUGAAUCAGAAUGAACAAAAUUAUUACAAUUCACACAAAGUGGACUGCAAACCAAACAUAGAUAUGUGAUUUUUUAAAGGGGAAUUUUC